UACAGAGGGUGCAAGCGUUGUUCGGAAUUAUUGGGCGUAAAGCGCGUGUAGGCGGCUUUGCAAGUCGGGUGUGAAAGCCCUCGGCUCAACCGAGGAAGUGCGCCCGAAACUGCAGAGCUUGAGUACCGGAGAGGGUGGCGGAAUUCCCCAAGUAGAGGUGAAAUUCGUAGAUAUCGAGUGGAACACCGGUGGCGAAGGCGGCCUUCUGGACAAUGACUGACGCUGAAACGCGAAAGCGUGGGGAGCAAACAGG
rnacentral:rRNA from 1 species